rnacentral:rRNA from 1 species
CCCUAUGGGGUGCCGCGCCCGGACCAGUGCGAACCGUUCGCCCGCGUGCUGCAGUCGCUCGGCGUGCGGCGGGCGAUGGUCGUUUGCGGGGCGGUGCCCGGCGAGGACGGCGCCAUGCGGCAUUUGGACGAGCUUUCGCCCUUGGGGCCGACGGCGCUUGCUGAAUUCUACCAGGAACGCGCGAUGGCCUGUUCGACACUGUCGCCUGAGCCGUUUCCAAUCCAAUCCGCGACCCUGGCUGACCGGCGCGGCGGCGACCGCGAAGUCAACGCCACGAUUAUUCGGCGCAUCCUUGGUGGCGAGGAGCGUGGACCGAAGCGGGACGCUGUUCUGCUGAACGCCGCGGCAGCGCUAUUCGUCGCCGGGCGAACGCCCUCGAUGGCUGAGGGCUGGGAAUUGGCGGGAGGGC